rnacentral:tRNA from 1 species
GGCCGAGUAGGCAGUGAGUUGUAUCCUCACCUACCGGGGCAGCCCCACGCUACCAAGCC